UACGGAGGGGGCUAGCGUUGUUCGGAAUUACUGGGCGUAAAGCGCACGUAGGCGGCUUUGUAAGUUAGAGGUGAAAGCCCAGGGCUUAACCCUGGAAUUGCCUUUAAGACUGCAUCGCUAGAAUCGUGGAGAGGUGAGUGGAAUUCCGAGUGUAGAGGUGAAAUUCGUAGAUAUUCGGAAGAACACCAGUGGCGAAGGCGAGUCUCUGGACAUUUCCUGACGCUGAGGCACGAAAGCCAGGGGAGCAAACGGG
rnacentral:rRNA from 1 species